UACGGAGGGGGCUAGCGUUGUCCGGAAUCAUUGGGCGUAAAGAGCGUGUAGGCGGUCCGGUAAGUCCGCUGUGAAAGUCGGGGGCUCAACCCUCGAAUGCCGGUGGAUACUGUCGGGCUAGAGUGCGGAAGAGGCGAGUGGAAUUCCUGGUGUAGCGGUGAAAUGCGCAGAUAUCAAGAGGAACACCUGCGGCGAAGGCGGGUUGCUGGGCCGACACUGACGCUGAGGCGCGAAAGCCAGGGGAGCGAACGGG
rnacentral:rRNA from 1 species